GAGCGGCGCGGGGGAGGGGACACCGCCGGCCCGGCGCCCGCAGAGGCGGGCGGGCGGCCGCUCCGCGCGGCGGUACCUGCGCUGGAAGUCCGUCCGGAAGGGCGCCAGAAUAUCCCCAGUACAAUAACUGAAGAUUCAGCCUUCACAAUCCCAGUGAUAUAGAGCUACACUUACAGGCUCCCACAGUGUUAUGCAUCCACCCACAGCAGGCAGUUGCUGCUGCAGGAACGGCUUGAUUGCAACAAUCUGCAUCUCCAAAGCUUAGUCCCUGCUGAACGUCCCAUUCCCUCAGCCCAGCCAUUUCUUCUACAAAAGGAGAGGAAGACAGGUAUUUCUAGGAGCAGAGUGGACACGUGUAGUAAGAGAGUGCCUCUCAGUCCUGAGCUUGCCAGUCCUCCUGAUGGAGACAAGAAAUGGGUUCUGCUUUAUAAGUCAUUAACCCCUGGGGCCUUCACAAGAUGAACAGUGAGAUCUAUGUUGGGGGAUUUCUAAUUCCUCAGCUUUGGCACUCCUGCAGCUGUCUCCUCAGCAACUCCUGUGUUGCCAUCUGAUUCAACACAUGCACAAGGAACACUUGCAAAGGGAGCUGAGUCAUUCUCUAAAUCUGGAACAACGUCCUCUGAACACAAAACCUUCCUCUGCAGGACUUAAGGGCAAUCAUGUGGCAUUGACAUCCCUAAGAAAUUUAAACUUAACGUGGAAGAAAAUGAAACAGCAUAUUGAUGGAUGACAUAGGCAUGAUGACUUCUCCACGAUGUCAUUGCAUGUUGAUGAAGGGACAGGAUAUGAACAUAUGAAAUAUGAGAUGCAAAUGUCAUCAAAAUACUUCCCUGGUUUUGCAAGGAGUUUGCACAAGGAGCCAUUCCUUUUCUGCAAAAGGAAGGCUUGAUUAUUUAUAACUGUAAAAACAAAAACAGAAAAAUAACUGCCAUAUGUUUCCCGUUUUCUUAAUUUCCUUUCUAUUCCAUGAAGUAUAGAUAUUCCUAUUAAUUAAAAAAAACUAUCACGUCUUGUCUCUGUUUUUCUUAAUUCUAGAAAUGUUUUGAAAAUUUAUUUUAAAAAAGUCAAAUAGCUUGCCCUGUUUUUUUUCAUUUUUAGAAUAAACUGAAGUGUUUCAGCUUUUGGUGUCUUUCCUGCUUGUUCACAUGAUUUAAUUUUUCUGUCAGGGUUCAGUUUUUCAUAAACAGCAAGACCUUUUUCAAUACCAAAGAACUGUGGUGGGUUCUGUUGUAUUGAUGUACUAAAUUAAAUUAAUUUUAUAACCUAUUCAGGACUCAAAAACAUGAAAGCAAGUU